rnacentral:tRNA from 1 species
GAGGUUGUGGCUCAGUGGCAGAGCGCUUGCCUAGCAUGUGGGAGGCCCUGGGUUCAAUCCUCAGCACCACA